AACUGAAAAAGUGCUAGGGGAAGGGAAGAAAUUACUUUUUCCGUGGGAAACUGCCCUUCACAGAGUCUUUUAGGGAGUGCAAAUCUGGCUUCAGGCUGAGUUGUUUUCUGAGGAGAGCAGGGAGACAUGGUGAGGGCACAAAGGGCAUGCAUACCACAAGAGCCUUUGGAUUUAGUGCUGGAAAAAGAAGUACUACAUCAAGUGGGAAAAAGGCUUCCAGGAGAACACUACCUGCAUUUUCUAAUUCCUGUUACAUCGUUCCACACAGUUUUCAUAACAUAUGUAAGUACUUACAAAUUUUUAUCUUGGAAAAUUAUCAAACAUGUUUUAUUUACCAGGAUGCAUUUCAUUUCACAACAAAGUUUGGAAGGGGCAGAAGAGCUACUUUCCUUGGGACUGUUAAACCU
rnacentral:lncRNA from 1 species